rnacentral:rRNA from 1 species
GACGGAGGGUGCAAGCGUUGUUCGGAAUUACUGGGCGUAAAGCGCGGGCAGGUGGCUCUUUAAGUCCUUUGUGAAAUUCCGGAGCUCAACUCCGGAUGUGCAUAGGAUACUGGAGAGCUGGAGACUGGUAGAGGCGAGCGGAAUUCCUGGUGUAGCGGUGGAAUGCGUAGAUAUCAGGAGGAAUACCGGUGGCGAAGGCGGCAUCCUGGACCGGCAUUGACGCUGAGGAGCGAAAGCCAGGGGAGCAAACGGG